AGAGUUUGAUUAUGGCUCAAACGAACGCUGGCGGCGCGUUUUAAGCAUGCAAGUCGAGCGGCAAGGGUCUUCGGGCCCCUAGAGCGGCGGACGGGUGAGUAACACGUGGACAAUCUGCCCCCCGGCCGGGGAUAGCCCAGGGAAACCUGGAUUAAUACCGGAUGAGACGGGACCCGCGGAGGCGGGAUCCGGGAAAGGCGCUGCGGCGCCGCCGGGGGAUGAGUCUGCGUCCCAUUAGCUUGACGGCGGGGUAACGGCCCACCGUGGCGACGAUGGGUAGCCGGCCUGAGAGUGUGGACGGCCACAUUGGAACUGAGACACGGUCCAGACUCCUACGGGAGGCAGCAGCUAAGAAUCUUCCGCAAUGGGCGAAAGCCUGACGGAGCGACGCCGCGUGAACGAAGAAGGCCGUGAGGUUGUAAAGUUCUUUUCGGGAGGGGGAACAACCGUGGCAGGGAAUGGCCGCGGGAUGACGUGAAUCCCGGAAUAAGCCCCGGCUAACUACGUGCCAGCAGCCGCGGUAACACGUAGGGGGCGAGCGUUGUUCGGAAUCAUUGGGCGUAAAGGGCGUGCAGGCGGUCCUGCAAGUCCGGCGUGAAAGACCCCGGCCCAACCGGGGGGGCGCGCUGGAAACUGCAGGGCUUGAGUACAGGAGGGGAUGCCGGAAUUCCAGGUGUAGGGGUGAAAUCUGUAGAUAUCUGGAGGAACACCAAUGGCGAAGGCAGGCAUCUGGCCAUGUACUGACGCUGAGACGCGAAGUGCGGGGAGCAAACAGGAUUAGAUACCCUGGUAGUC
rnacentral:rRNA from 1 species